rnacentral:tRNA from 1 species
CCUGGUGGCUCAGAGGUUAAAGCAUCUGCUUGCAAUGCAGGAGACCUGGGUUCUAUCCCUGGGUCAGGA